rnacentral:rRNA from 1 species
CGGACGGGUGAGUAACACGUGGAUAACCUACCUAUAAGACUGGGAUAACUUCGGGAAACCUGAGCUAAUACCGGAUAAUAUUUUGAACCGCAUGGUUCAAAAGUGAAAGACGGUCUUGCUGUCACUUAUAGAUGGAUCCGCGCUGCAUUAGCUAGUUUGUAAGGUAACGGCUUACCAAGGCAACGAUGCAUAGCCGACCUGAGAGGGUGAUCGGCCACACUGGAACUUAGACACGGUCCAG